rnacentral:rRNA from 1 species
AUUGAACGCUGGCGGCAGGCCUAACACAUGCAAGUCGAGCGGAUGACGGGAGCUUGCUCCUUGAUUCAGCGGCGGACGGGUGAGUAAUGCCUAGGAAUCCGCCUGGUAGUGGGGGACAACGUUUCGAAAGGAACGCUAAUACCGCAUACGUCCUACGGGAGAAAGCAGGGGACCUUCGGGCCUUGCGCUAUCAGAUGAGCCUAGGUCGGAUUAGCUAGUAGGUGAGGUAAUGGCUCACCUAGGCGACGAUCCGUAACUGGUCUGAGAGGAUGAUCAGUCACACUAGAACUGAGACACGGUCCAGACUCCUACGGGAAGCAGCAGUGGGGAAGAUUGGACAAUGGGCGAAAGCCUGAUCCAGCCAUGCCGCGUGUGUGAAGAAGGUCUUCGGAUUGUAAAGCACUUUAAGUUGGGAGGAAGGGCAGUAAGCUAAUACCUUGCUGUUUUGACGUUACCGACAGAAUAAGCACCGGCUAACUCUGUGCCAGCCGCCGCAGUAACAC